UUCUCCUGGGGAGUGGCUGGGGAGCAGACAGACCCAACCUCAUGCUCCCCGGCCUCUGCCCCCAG
ensembl:miRNA MIR6763 microRNA 6763